rnacentral:rRNA from 1 species
UGGGGAAUAUUGGACAAUGGGGGAACCCUGAUCCAGCCAUGCCGCGUGUGUGAAGAAGGCCUUUUGGUUGUAAAGCACUUUAAGUGGGGAGGAGGCUCUCUUGGUUAAUACCUAAGAAGAGUGGACGUUACCCACAGAAUAAGCACCGGCUAACUCUGUGCCAGCAGCCGCGGUAAUACAGAGGGUGCGAGCGUUAAUCGGAUUUACUGGGCGUAAAGCGCGCGUAGGUGGUUAAUUAAGUCAAAUGUGAAAUCCCCGAGCUUAACUUGGGAAUUGCAUUCGAUACUGGUUAGCUAGAGUAUGGGAGAGGAUGGUAGAAUUCCAGGUGUAGCGGUGAAAUGCGUAGAGAUCUGGAGGAAUACCGAUGGCGAAGGCAGCCAUCUGGCCUAAUACUGACACUGAGGUGCGAAAGCAUGGGGAGCAAACAGGAUUAGAUACCCUGGUAGUCCAUGCCGUAAACGACGUCUACUAGCCGUUGGGGGAUUUGAUCCUUUAGUGGCGCAGCUAACGCGAUAAGGUAGACCGCCUGGGGAGUACGGUCGCAA